rnacentral:tRNA from 1 species
GCCUGGGUGGCUCAGUUAGUUAGGCGUCUGACUUCGGCUCAGGUCAUGAUCUCGCAGUUCGUGGGUUCGAGCCCCGCGUCGGGCU